AAAGAAAUCAGUAAUAAUUAUUGAGCAAGGUUAAUUUUUUUUUUGUAGAUUCGCGGAAGUGGCUAAACUCAAGAAGGUCUAUUGGCUUGAAAUUCAAGGCAAAAUUGAUUCUCGAAGACUGUCAAAAAGAACCAAAUAUGUUGCUUAUCUAGUGUUCAAAUUGGAAAAUCAAUUCUAUGGCCUUGAAACUGUUAAUGCAGUUGUAAGAUUUGUUGAUUCUAUGAGUAAAAAAGAUGCGGAGAAACGAGCUAGUGUUGUGCAUUUUGCAGGACGAGGACCUAGAGAAACGCUACCCUUCGAAAGAGCUGAUGGAUGGAUGGAAUUAAAAAUGGGAGACUUUUUCAAUGAUGCAGGAGAAGACGGAUAUGUUGAUGCGCGAUUAAUGGAAACUAAGAAACUCGAUGAAAAAAAGGGCCUCAUUGUUCAAGGAGUGGAGUUUCGUCCCGAAUGAAGAAGAGAAGAAUCCUCCUCUAACUAUGCCCUUUUGUUUUGGUUUCAUUUUGAUAUUGAGGGGUGCUUACCAUCCGAGCAACUCCCUCUCGUCAAACAUUUUAAUAUGAUUCUACAAGUUUUACUUUUUUUACAGUCCAAAAGAGGCGCUACAUUUUUGUUUUAGAAGAGAGUAUAACAACAUUAUGAGUAUCUAUUUCUUCCCAAGUAACUUAAAACAAAUCAAAGUUUAAAUACUACGAUCUUUCCAUCUCAAAUUAUUUGUCAUGAUUUUUUAAAAUAAUCAUCUCGACUUUUUUGUCAUUUUAGAAGUUCAAGAUAAAAUUAAUUAUUUAUUUCAUAUUUUAGCUAGAGAGUAGUAAUAUUCUUGAAACUACAAGCACUUCAAUACAUAAGUAGAGAAAAUAUUCAAUUUAAAGAGAUUAUAUAAAUAAGUAGAGAAAUUGUAUUUGAUUGCGUAGGCGGGCAUUAUUUAUGGGAGGGUGCCCACCUAGUGUCAUUGUGCAUGUAUGAGAUCUCGCACAAGUAAUAUCAUAUUUGAUGACUUGAAAUACGAAGAUGAUAAGAAGUUCCCAUAAAGACUAUGAAUAGUUUUUACGAUGCUUUUCUGAGUUUAGAGGUGAAGAUACGCGUAGAACAAUAGUUUUAACAAUCCUAAUUAAAUAUUAAUAUGGUCAUCUUCAAACUUUUACAUUGACAUUGGAUACAACACAACUCCAAUUAAUUGGUCCAUAUUGAAGAUAUCCAUUACUAGGCCUACCGAUUUAAUAGUACUAGAGAAAUUCCAUCCUCAAAUUUGGUGGAAAAUAUCAAACAUUAAGCUUUCAAUGUCAUAACAACUUAGAGUAAUUAAUUAAUAAUCUUAUCAGAUUACCAUAAUAUUUUGUUAUUCAAUAGUACUAUAUAUUUAGUUUAGUUUCUAACGUAAUAACUAAAAUAGGGGACCUUUGUAAUUUUGUAUCGUGACACCUUUAUCUAGACGAUAUGUUAUUUGUCUCUGAUUGAGCCUGAUAUAUGCUAAGGCAAAAUUUUCAUCAGAAAUUUUAUCAUUUACUAUAUUUGAAAUCGAUGAUAUUGUAUCUAUACGUCGCAAUAGACGAUGGUUUAAUUAUUAGUCCAAAAAAAAUCAUCGUUUAGUGUAUUGCACACCAAUUUUUCAGCCCAGCAGACUCUUUUAGAGAAAAACUUCAUUCCUUUUUAGUUGUCAUGAUUUUCUUUUUUAGAUUCAAAUGAUAAGAAUUUUGACUAACAAUUUACGAUGUAUUUUUUAUCAUAUUGAUAUGCAAAAAAUUGUAAUUUAUAGUAAUUUUCGUAUAGUUUUUGAAUAUCUAAAAUUUUAAUUUAAAAUAUCGAAUUAAUAUAAUCUAAUUUAACUUUGAAAAUUAGUCAAAUUAUCUUUCGGAAAGCGCAACAUUACAACGAAAAAGGAAUGGAGGCCGAGUAUCAAAUAUAUGGUAUUACUUAAUUGUGCGAGAUCUAAUAUACGAUGACGUACACUUAGAGGUCGUUUGAUAGGGUGUAUAAAAAUAAUGUUAAAUAGAGUAUUAGUUAUGCUUGUAUUCACUAUACAUAAAUUAUUUUUUAUGCAUUGUUUGGUUUGGUGUACAAAAAAUAACAUGAAUUGCAUAAAAAAUUUCAUUUAUAAAAAUAUCCUCCACAAUUAUGAUGGAAAAGAUGUAAAAAGGGGUUUUGAGGGGUAAUUGAGGUUGUAACCAUACUAAUACAUGUAUUGAAUCUCUUUGUGUUACUAAUACCUAGAAAUCAAUGAUAUUAGUAAUACACUCUUUCAUACACAAUAAAGUGUAUAACUAAUGCAUGCAAACAAGAUACUAUUAAUACACAGAGUUAAUGCGUGCAUUAUUUUUGCUAAUACACUCCACUGACACCUCAAGAUUUUUCUUGGCUUUUUUCGCCAAGGUCUAAGUCAAAAGUCUUCUUACCUGUAUUUUGUACGACCUCACUAAUGAAAAAGUAGGUUACAUUUUCAUGACUUUGAAAUAGAAUUAUAGAAACAUGAUAAGACCAUAAAGACUAUGAAUAAAUAGUGAAAAAAUUAGGUAAAGUGUUGUUCUUCAUUAAGUUGAGAAUUUCCCUAUUAGUUUUUAGCAAUUGUAACUAAUACUCUUCAACAAUGUCAAACACUUCUUCUUCCAAAAUUCAAAAGUACGAUGCUUUUCUGAGUUUUAGAGGUGUAGAUAUACGUAGAACAUUUGUGAGUCAUCUCCAUAACGCUUUAAUACAAGGAGGAAUUAAUGUUUUCAAAGACGAUGAACGUCUAGAAACUGGAAAAUUAAUUUCUGAUGAACUACCAAAAGCCAUAGAAGAGUCUAAAUUUGCUAUAGUGAUAUUUUCUGAAAGCUAUGCAUCGUCAAAAUGGUGUUUAGACGAGCUUGCACACAUCAUAAAGUGUCGAAAGGAAUUGGAUCAAAUCGUAAUUCCUAUUUUCUAUAAUGUGGAUCCAUCAGAUGUGCGUCAUCAAACUCAAACUUUUGCUGAGUCUUUUACCAAACAUGAGGAAAAAUAUAAAGAUGAUAUGGAGAAAAUUCAAAGAUGGAGGGAUGCAUUUGCUGAGUCUGGGAAAAUAGUAGGGCACCAUUUGCAAAAUUACAAGUAAGAUUAUUUUUCUUUUUCUCUUUAUUCCCCCUCCGUAACAAUAUAGAUCUCUUAAUUUGAUUGGACACGGAAUUUUUUUAAAAAAAUAAAGAGAAAUUUUGUGGUUUUAAACUUGUCGUGUAGAUUGUUGGAAUUGAAAAACACACUAAAUAUAGAAAGAGAAUCUCUUAUGGACAAAUCAAAAAGGAAAGUAAGACACUUAGCUUGCGUUUAGACAUGCCAUAUGAAGUCCUAAUUUCAAAUCAAUGUUUGGGCAUGUGUUUGGAAUCCCAAAUUUUCCAUAUAAAAAAAACAUGAUUUGAGAUUCCAAAUCAUGUUUUUGGAGAAUGAUUUCAGAUUCUAAUCUCAAAAUCUCAUAUUCAAAUAUUGAUUUGAAAUCGUGACUUCAUAUCGUAUAUCCGUAUGCAAACUUAAAUUAGAAUAUAUAUAAGGAAUAGUAUUUUUCGAGCUUUGCCUUCUUGGGUGAUUCAAGAAACAUAUUGUUUUAUUGUUGUGCAAAAAUAAUUAAAAUUAAUAAAAUAAGGUAUAUAUAAUAUCAUAAAGAGAGUAUACCCUAAAUAUAAAUUCUAUAAUCUUGUAUUCUCUUUAUGCCUUAUGUGACAUAAUCCAUUCAAAAAAAAAUAUCACUUUUAUAUUAAUAGAAGGAAUUUAACUUUAAAUUUUCUUUUGUACCCUUAAUCAAAUGAUCAUUUACAACUCCACACAAGUGUGUAAGGUUCUUUUUAGAUCAUAAAUUUCAAAUUUUGUUCUUUUCUUUCUUAAAUUUUAUGUCAAAUCAAAUGAUAUCACAUAAAUUGAGACAGAAAAAAGUUUGAUUUCUAAAUUUCGAUCUAAAUAAUUGUUCUUUUUAUUGUAACAUUUAGGGAUGAGGCAGAUUGCAUCAAAAAGGUUGUUGACGAACUAAUGUCAUCAUUACAUAUUAAAUCUGAUGACGAUGAUGACGCUAGGGAUCGGGGCGUGGACGCUAAAUCUCCAAUUCUUAUUGAUGAAGGGAAAAUGGUAUUUUUUCUUUUAUAAUUUGAAUUCAUGACUAGCCUUCCCCAUUCAUAAGGGCUGUUAGGUGGCCUGGGCCUGGAACCAGGCCACCAAACAUGUAGUUAAUUAUUGGCAUGAAUACAAAUAAGUCUGACUAAUUGUACAAUGAAAAUGACCCUCAUGGCUAUUGAUGUGUUUUAUGUAUGGUAUAAUGCGCGGCCAGUUGUAGCUAGUCAUGUCAAGUGAGCUGGAUUGGCAUGUGCUGAGCCCAAUCAUACACCAUAAGAAUAUGCCAGACCCGUUACUGGCCUGGCCCAUUCAUAAGGGCUAUUAAGUGGUCUAUAAGACCUUUUUCAAAUUGUUUUAUAAUUUAUAAUGUUUUAUGUUUGUGAUUUGAUAUGUCAAAUAGAGUUUUUCACGAGAUAAGAAGACGGGAAAGAAAUGUUUCAUGAUAGCAGCAAGAGGACUUGAUAUUGAAUGGAGUAAUACACCAGACUAUUGGGAAUGGUUACCUCACUCUGACUCCAGGUUUUAUAUAUUUGCGAUAUCUUUCUAUGUACUAGUAUAAAAUUUGAAAGGAAUUAGUAAUAAUUAUUGAUAAAGGUGAAUUUUUUUUGUAGAUUCGGGGAAGUGGCUAAACUCAAGUGGGUUUGUUGGCUUGAUAUUCGAGGCAAAAUUGAAACUCGAAGACUAUCAAAAAGAACCAAAUAUGUUGCUUAUCUAGUGUUCAAAUUGGAAGAUAAAUUCCAUGGCCUUGAAACCGUUAAUGCAGUUGUUAGAUUUGUUGAUUCUAUGAGUGUAAAGGAAGCGGAACAACGAGCUAGUGUUGUACAUUUUGCAGGACGAGGACCUAGAGAGACACUACCCUUCAAAAGAGGUGAUGGAUGGAUGGAAUUAAAAAUGGGAGACUUUUUCAAUGAUGCAGGAGAAGACGGAGAUGUUGAUGCUCGAUUAAUGGAGACUCAGCGUCUCGAAGCAAAAGGUGGCCUCAUUGUUCAAGGAGUGGAGUUUCGC
rnacentral:lncRNA from 1 species